rnacentral:lncRNA from 1 species
AUUUUGUUAAAUUAGUAUACACAAAAGGAUUAUAGAAAUAAAAAUUAACAGCUGUAAAAACAAACAGCAAUUAAUCAGAUUAAAAUGUCCAGGGGUAAUGCCACUAUUACAUGUAUUUUAUCUAAUUAGCAAAAUAUUGCUAAUAUUUAGACAUUAUAUACAUUGUUUGUACUAAAAAAUUAUUUUCAAUAUUGUGACAAGC